CUAUCCGAGUACAGAACCCCAUAUUGUGUUCAGCUACAUCUGCUGAGUAAAACAAUACCCCCAUUGUAUACCUUUGCCCCUAUUCUGUGAAGCUACAAUGCUAUAUAGGAGACCAUGCUAUUUCAGUUUCUAUAGUUGGAAUUUUUAUAGAUGGUCAUAUGUCUGAUUUUGUGGCAUAAUAGCCAUUUGACUGUUCAAAUAACCCCACAAAGGCCUUCC